GGCGAGGGCAGGGAGAAGAAGAAGAAGGAGAAGAAGAAGGGUGGCUGUUAGUGGAGCUGGGUCAGACAGUCAGUGUUACGACUCCCUGUGGUGGAAAGUAUAUCCUAGGUCCAGUUCUCUACAGCAACGUCAGGAGAACAUCUGGAGAACAUCUGGAGAACGUUCUCAGGUGAACAUCCAGAGAACAUCUGGAGAACAUCUGGAGAACAUCUGGAGAACAUGUGGCCCCACCCCCUGCACUCACACAGGAAGUGUCCUGGUUCCGUUCAGCAGCUGGAUCAGCUCCAGGCGGGUCUGAUCAUCCAGGACAGUGUGAGGGGGAAGUGGUCCAGGCUGAGCACCUCGCUGAGGUAGGUCCUGCUGGGAGGACUGAUGGUCCACAGAGAGUUACUG